ACAAACGCUGCUUAAUUAUAAUUUAAUGUUUUUUCGCUUUAAUUUAAUGUUCUUCCCAUGACGUGGCAUAACCUAAUAGGCCAUAUGUAGCCAAACCCGAUACCUAAUCGAAGUCGGUGAUUCCAACCCCUCUCUACUCCCUAUAGAAAUGGCAGCCACAAUCUCCGCGUCAGCUUGUUCGGUCCCUUAAACACUCAUUUGUCCCCAACGACGUCGUUUCAAGAAACAAACGACAAAUCAUGUCGGGAAACUUAACUCCGGCUGCAACGUCUGCAUAGGUAAAAAUAACCUCUCAAAUCUCAGUUCUGUCAUCAGUUUUUCCAAAAUCGAUUCCUAAUUUUUCUUUCUUGUUAUUAAUUUAAUUGAAUUUAAUUAAUAUUAUAGGUAAUUUAGAUGAGAAAAUGAGCGAGAGUGCUAUUAAGCUUUUUUCUAAUUCAAGCAGGGCGAGUAGUUGAUGUAUAUAUAUACCAUUAAGCUUUACGAUAUGAAUCCGAAGAGAUCGCCGAUUAUGCCAUUAAGCUUUUUUCCGGCAUUGUCACUCUCUACAAUCGAACCCUCAGAUUUGCUGUGCGUAACCUUUUUUUUAUUUUUUAUUUUAUAUUUGUAUAGUUUCAUUAAGUUUUGGCUAAAAUGCAAAUAGGCCCAAUUUCUAUAGCUUUGAGAUAAUAACACUUUGUCCCUUUUCAUUUACUUUUUAUUUAUUCGAAUCUUGCAAUUUAUUUUCACGUUAAAUUACUAGAAAUGCUCGACUUGGAUUCAAAAGUUGGUCAGAAUCAGAAUGUUGAAGCUUGAAUUUUGUGAUUUCUCAUCAGUUGAAAAUUAAAGAAAGUGGGAAAAUUAAUCCUCCGUUUUCGUUUUCUUAACUGCAUCUCUGUUUCAUUGCAGUGUUCUCUCAUUUUGUAUCCAUUAUUACAAGUGCGAGUUUUUGGGUCCACUUGAAGGGACUGAGGACUGGGAUCAUAAUUGAUGAAUUGCAUAGCAAUUGCUAUAAGUGAACAAAAUUUAAGAGUUAUAAAUCAAUUCGUACAAGAAAUACAAACGCUGCUUAAUUAUAAUUUAAUGUUUUUUCGCUUUAAUUUAAUGUUCUUCCCAUGACGUGGCAUAACCUAAUAGGCCAUAUGUAGCCAAACCCGAUACCUAAUCGAAGUCGGUGAUUCCAACCCCUCUCUACUCCCUAUAGAAAUGGCAGCCACAAUCUCCGCGUCAGCUUGUUCGGUCCCUUAAACACUCAUUUGUCCCCAACGACGUCGUUUCAAGAAACAAACGACAAAUCAUGUCGGGAAACUUAACUCCGGCUGCAACGUCUGCAUAGGUAAA
rnacentral:lncRNA from 1 species